ACAGCAGUCGCCGCGGUAAUACGUAGGGUGCGAGCGUUGUCCGGAAUUACUGGGCGUAAAGGGCUCGUAGGUGGUUUGUCGCGUCGUCUGUGAAAUUCCGGGGCUUAACUCCGGGCGUGCAGGCGAUACGGGCAUAAUUUGAGUACUGUAGGGGUAACUGGAAUUCCUGGUGUAGCGGUGAAAUGCGCAGAUAUCAGGAGGAACACCGAUGGCGAAGGCAGGUUACUGGGCAGUUACUGACGCUGAGGAGCGAAAGCAUGGGUAGCGAACAGGAUUAGAUACCCGAGUAGUCCCUGUCUCUUAUA
rnacentral:rRNA from 1 species